rnacentral:rRNA from 1 species
AAGGGCACCACAAGAACGCGUGGAGCAUGUGGCUUAAUUUGACCCAACGCGGGAAAUCUUACCGGGUCCGGACACAUUGAGGAUUGACAGGUUACUACUUAAAAUAUUGUAUAUUUUUUUAAAAUAUAUUUAAUAUUUUUUUGUAAAAAUAUGCUAGUCCUUUCAUGAUUAUGUGAUAGGUGGUGCAUGGCCGUUCUUAGUUCGUGGAGUGAUCUGUCUGCUUAAUUGCGUUUCACAAUAGGAUUUAUAUACAAUUGUUACAUUGACCCCUUUUUCUUUUUAUUAAGAAUUUGCGCGUGUCUUUGUAAUCUACAAUUUUUAAAUCCUGAAAGCAACGAACGUGACC